rnacentral:pre_miRNA from 1 species
AAACUGUUUACACUGAUCUGUGCUGCUGAUAAAUCUUAAUUUUUUUUUUGAAUUUUUAUUUAACAGAAAAUAGAGAGAGUGAAGUCACUGGAGGCAGCGGUUCAUCGAUCACUUUGUGCAAAUUUUGUUGUGAAAAAUAACACAAAAUACAUGAAUCGAUCGAUAAACCUCUGCAUCCAGCGCUCACUCCAACUCUAUUC